AUUCUUGCAGCGGACUAACCAUGCAAGUCGAGCGGAUGAAGGGAGCUUGCUCCUGGAUUCAGCGGCGGACGGGUGAGUAAUGCCUAGGAAUCUGCCUGGUAGUGGGGGAUAACGUCCGGAAACGGGCGCUAAUACCGCAUACGUCCUGAGGGAGAAAGUGGGGGAUCUUCGGACCUCACGCUAUCAGAUGAGCCUAGGUCGGAUUAGCUAGUUGGUGGGGUAAAGGCCUACCAAGGCGACGAUCCGUAACUGGUCUGAGAGGAUGAUCAGUCACACUGGAACUGAGACACGGUCCAGACUCCUACGGGAGGCAGCAGUGGGGAAUAUUGGACAAUGGGCGAAAGCCUGAUCCAGCCAUGCCGCGUGUGUGAAGAAGGUCUUCGGAUUGUAAAGCACUUUAAGUUGGGAGGAAGGGCAGUAAGUUAAUACCUUGCUGUUUUGACGUUACCAACAGAAUAAGCACCGGCUAACUUCGUGCCAGCAGCCGCGGUAAUACGAAGGGUGCAAGCGUUAAUCGGAAUUACUGGGCGUAAAGCGCGCGUAGGUGGUUCAGCAAGUUGGAUGUGAAAUCCCCGGGCUCAACCUGGGAACUGCAUCCAAAACUACUGAGCUAGAGUACGGUAGAGGGUGGUGGAAUUUCCUGUGUAGCGGUGAAAUGCGUAGAUAUAGGAAGGAACACCAGUGGCGAAGGCGACCACCUGGACUGAUACUGACACUGAGGUGCGAAAGCGUGGGGAGCAAACAGGAUUAGAUACCCUGGUAGUCCACGCCGUAAACGAUGUCGACUAGCCGUUGGGAUCCUUGAGAUCUUAGUGGCGCAGCUAACGCGAUAAGUCGACCGCCUGGGGAGUACGGCCGCAAGGUUAAAACUCAAAUGAAUUGACGGGGCCCGCACAGCGGUGGAGCAUGUGGUUUAUUCGAAGCACGCGAGACCUUACCUGGCCUUGACAUGCUGAGACUUUCCAGAGAUGGAUGGUGCUUCGGGACUCAGAACAGUGCUGCAUGCUGUCGUCAGCUCGUGUCGUGAAAUGUGGGUUAGUCCGUACAGCGCAACCCUUGUCCUUAGUAC
rnacentral:rRNA from 1 species